AUUGAACGCUGGCGGCAGGCCUAACACAUGCAAGUCGAACGAGUGGCGGACGGGUGAGUAAUGUCUGGGAAACUGCCCGAUGGAGGGGGAUAACUACUGGAAACGGUAGCUAAUACCGCAUACCAUCGGAUGUGCCCAUAUGGGAUUAGCUAGUUGGUGGGGUAAAGGCUCACCUAGGCGACGAUCCCUAGCUGGUCUGAGAGGAUGACCAGCAAGACUGGAACUGAGACACGGCCAGGACUCCGACGGGAGGCAGCAGUGGGGAAUAUUGGACAAGGGGGGAAAGCCUGAUGCAGCCAUCCCGCGUGUAGGAAGAAGGCCUUCGGGUUGUAAAGUACUUUCAGCGGGGAGGCGUUACUCGCAGAAGAAGCACCGGCUAACUCCGUGCCAGCAGCCGCGGUAAUUC
rnacentral:rRNA from 1 species